GGAAUCGCUAGUAAUCGCGGAUCAGCAUGCCGCGGUGAAUACGUUCCCGGGCCUUGUACACACCGCCCGUCACACCACCCGAGUUGAUUGCACCCGAAGAGGCCGAGCUAACCGCAAGGAGGCAAGUUUCUAAGGUGAAAUCGGUGAGGGGGGUGAAGUCGUAACAAGGUAGCCGUACGGGAACGUGCGGCUGGAUCACCUCCUUA
rnacentral:rRNA from 1 species